GACGAACGCUGGCGGCGUGCCUAACACAUGCAAGUCGAACGGAAAGGCCCUGCUUUUGUGGGGUGCUCGAGUGGCGAACGGGUGAGUAACACGUGAGUAACCUGCCCUUGACUUUGGGAUAACUUCAGGAAACUGGGGCUAAUACCGGAUAGGAGCUCCUGCUGCAUGGUGGGGGUUGGAAAGUUUCGGCGGUUGGGGAUGGACUCGCGGCUCAUCAGCUUGUUGGUGGGGUAGUGGCUUACCAAGGCUUUGACGCGUAGCCGGCCUGGGAGGGGGACCGGCCACAUUGGGACGGGGAUACGACCCAGACUCCUACGGGAGGCAGCAGUGGAGAAGAUUGCACAAUGGGAGGGAGCCAAAUGCGGCAACGCCACGUGGGGGAAGUGGUGCUUCGGGUAGUGAAGCGAUGUCGCCUGAGACGAGGCGUGAGUGACGGUAAUGGGUGAAGAAGCACCGGCUAACUACGUG
rnacentral:rRNA from 1 species